rnacentral:ncRNA from 2 species
UCCUUAUGAAGAGCCGGGGGAGGAAACUGGUCCAACGAUCCCGCAGCAACCUUUUAAAGGUGCUCCAUCCAGCAGACAUUGUCUGAAAGAUAAGGA